AUCCUGGCUCAGAUUGAACGCUGGCGGCAGGCCUAACACAUGCAAGUCGAGCGGUAACAGGAGAAAGCUUGCUUUCUUGCUGACGAGCGGCGGACGGGUGAGUAAUGUAUGGGGAUCUGCCCGAUAGAGGGGGAUAACUACUGGAAACGGUGGCUAAUACCGCAUAAUGUCUACGGACCAAAGCAGGGGCUCUUCGGACCUUGCACUAUCGGAUGAACCCAUAUGGGAUUAGCUAGUAGGUGGGGUAAAGGCUCACCUAGGCGACGAUCUCUAGCUGGUCUGAGAGGAUGAUCAGCCACACUGGGACUGAGACACGGCCCAGACUCCUACGGGAGGCAGCAGUGGGGAAUAUUGCACAAUGGGCGCAAGCCUGAUGCAGCCAUGCCGCGUGUAUGAAGAAGGCCUUAGGGUUGUAAAGUACUUUCAGCGGGGAGGAAGGUGAUAAGGUUAAUACCNUUAUCAAUUGACGUUACCCGCAGAAGAAGCACCGGCUAACUCCGUGCCNG
rnacentral:rRNA from 1 species